AUUUCCACUGGUACCAAUAUUCAUAGACCCAGAAAUCCAUAAUUGUGUCUUUCAUUGCACAGUGUCUGUCUUUCUCCUUUUGCUUGAGUUCCAAGAUGCAAGCCAGGAACUGUAGGGCUUUAUUACCGGUUUUUAACAUGAAGAGGUCUUCAGCUCGAAUUGAUGUGAAGCAGGAUGUGAUUACUGUGCUGAGCUGCUAAAGGUUGGUUAUCAAGCAUGUGAAAUGAGCUAAUGUUUAAUAUCAAAUUAUUAAAAUCAACACAAAUCUUUUUUUCUAUGGCAUGAAGCAAACAUUUUAAAGCAGUCCUAGCAGAAGUAGUGGUAAAAGUUUUUAUAUUCUUAUAGUUACAUACAUUUUAGGCUAAUGUUAAUUAGCAUUAGCCUAAUGCUAAUUUAAACUAAUGCUGCAGCUUUCUAAAAGAUACAUACGUCAUUUACUCUAUGAUGUAUGUAAAUAUGUAGCAGAAGCUCUAUUCACAAGCUGUGCAGAUUGAACUGAAUGUCAGAAGUCUACAUUUUUCAUAGCUCCUGGACAAAAAUCAAUGUCAUCUGUCUUAUAUAAAUAUUUAGUUAUAUGAUAAACUAUGGCUGAAGCAGGCACAUAAAGAUUGAUAUUUGUAUUUAAUUAUUUUUGGACCGACAUAUUUUGUUCCACUUGAGCAGUGCUGCAAUAAAGCGCAAAGAAAUUACAGAUGAAUGCACAUUAUGGAAAUUAAAAGAAACAGAUUUUAUGAUUUAUCUGACCAAAAAAUAUAAUAAGUUGUUUAAAGAUGCACUAGAUUACAUUGACAUCAAAACCUGUGGCAUUUCAUUACUUUUGCUGACAAUAACUAUCAAAGUUAAGGAGUUUUACCUGCACUACUAAGAAAUUAGUAGCAAACUUAAUUUGGACUCUGUCCUGCACAGGAACUGUUUCCAGAUACCAAGCUCAUAAGCUGUAGAGAGUGAUCCUGAGUGAAAGACCUUCCAGAAUGAGAAAGAAGAGCUUACGUCUUCAUCUAUGAAAAGAACUUUAUAUUUGAAGUUGGUAAAUAUUUUAAGGUUCCCUAGAAAAAAAAGAAAAGAAAAAAAAUAGAAAACGUUUUUUAAGUGAUGACAUUUUUAAACUCCCUCAGUUUUCAAAGAAAAGAAAAGAAAUCUAGUCUUGGACCAGCUACCAAGAAAAUCCUAUGUACCCAGACUGAAGCCCUGCCUUGAAAAGCCAGAAUCCCUUUCAGAUAUAUCUAUGGUCAAAGAGGAUCAUAAUGGAGGUGACACCGUCGGGAGUUUCUUUACAAGCAAGAGGUCUAGAAAGCAACCUUAAAGGAAAAGCAAAAGCAGAAAUUCCCACAAUCCUAAGACUUUAAAAAUGAGGGCUGACACUAAAUAUGACAGGAGUACCUGAAAUGUUUCUCUGAAUGUCAGUGAAUCUAAAAGGUUUGCAGAGAACUGCAGGAUGGCAGAAAAGCUGGUUCUGAUUGAUUCAUACAAAAAAAAAAAAAAAAAAAAAAAAAAAAGGGAUGGUAAGAGCUUUAUUCAGGAAUGGAGAGGCAGAAAAUAGCAUAGCCAGGAGAUAAGCCAGGACACAUUCUAAGGCAUAAACUUGCAGUGACACAGCAUGAACAGAUGAGGGCAAGAUCCCUGAACUGGGAAAUCUGACUGAAGAUCUACAACAUACAUGACAUACACAUGAUAUUGUUAUUUAUUCACAGUUUAGGACCUUGUUUUUAUUUUUAUUUUUUUUUACUCCAGGGUGCACUAUUCCCAAGUACAGUUUUAGGAGGGGCUUUAACUGUGCUUGAACUGUGGAGUAGUUCUAGAGUGUGUGUCUGGACUGGGUUGCUGUUAUUGCCUCUUGUUACUGCCUCUCUCAUGAAAGCAGUAGGACUUGCAGGUAGAGUUAGCCAGACCAUUGGACUGUUCUGGCUAAAAAUCAGUCCUGCCAAGCCAAACAGUCCAACCCCAGUGUUGAUGACCUGGCACAAGGGUGGAGGGUGACACUUCUCUACUCCCAGCCAUCCCCCUGAGAGGGCAAGCAAAGCACUUUCCCUGGCGGUGUCUCCCCAUGUACAGCCUGCUGUGGAAUUAGCAUCUGUUUCCCUCAUGUUUGUUUGAUUAACCCUUUCCUCUACAGGGAUGGUUUUGCAAUUUGUUUGGAAGCAUGGAGGAAAAGAAGACAAAAAAAUUAGGCAUUGGGAGUAGCCUUUUGGUUGUCAUUACAGAGAUAUCUGUGUGCCUGCUCAGAUGCUUGCUUCCAGCGAUUUUUUUAUCAACUCAAAUACAGUGGUUCAACUGCAAGUGAUAAGCAGUGCCCUUAUUCUUGGUGUCAGAGGUUGCUGGGAAUUUUUUUGAAGUGCCUGUAGCAUCUAAAAUCCAGUAUAUUAUUAAGGGAAAAAAUAUUUGAGGGGAAAAGUACUAAACAAUAUAAUUGAACAAAAAUUGUGUUUUCUUUCUGGAUUUAGUAGCUUGACUUUUCCUGGAUUUAAUUGUGUUUCUGUAGUCAAAGGAAGGAAAACACAAAGCCAUAAUGCCAGAGAAAUCUUUCCUAAGGAAAAUCAACUAUGAUGUUGUUAGCUAACAAGGUAGAUGAGCAGUGCCAUUGCAAACUCACUGCAUGUACCAGUGAGAUAAGUCAAGAUUCUGACAAGUGAGUUAGAUGAAAUUAUGAGAAGGAUACAGAAUCAACAAUAGAAAGAGGUCAGCAAAAGCAGGGUUAUAUGAGACACCACUGCCCAUCUUGAAUAGCAUUCUGGCUCUCAUUAGCUUGCACCAUGGAACUGCCUCUUUAAGUGGGUGUAAAAUGGGUUCUCUUGGGAUUGGAUAUAGCCAAAGACUUGCUCAGGAGUUUAGCUGACAUGCUACAACUGCUCUUGGGUAUUCAUUCCGUGCUGCUGGCCAUGCGCUACAUUUAGGUCAAGAUGAAACUCAAUGAAACAUUUAGCUUGAACAUCAGGUUUCUCUUUACAAAUCUGCCUGAACUACUGUGCUGAACUACUUGGUAGGACAGGCAUAGCCCCAGGGUAAACCCCAGCACCCUGCAGGAGUACAAAGACUGAACCAAAGCUGUGUGAUGAAUGCAGAUGUGAUGGUGCUGGUGUUUAUAUCUGACUCGAAUGGGUCACUAAUAUGGAUAUUGCAGGGAUUGUGAAAAGCCUGAUGUGUCAGGUAGGAAAGCUGCUGGAGAGGAGAUGAUGGGGGAGUGACAUGGAGGAAUAGACAUAGACCUUCUAACUGCAGUGAGUUAGUUCAGUUCAGGGCCACAAAGACAAUUAAGGGACUGAAACAUUUCCUAUGAGGAACAUCUGAGAGAGCUAGGACUGUUCAGCCUGGAGGAGAGAAGACUCAGGGGCAAACUCAUCAGCAUGUGUAAAUGCCUGGGAGGAGAGGAGGGAGUGAGGGGAGAAGGACACCGACACUUCUCAGCAGUGCUCGCUGGUAGGACAAGAGGCAAUGUGCACAAAAAUAAAUUCUCCUUGCCAAAGCAUCUUCUCUGUUGCAUCCCACGUCCGUAUUUUUGAACUAUGUUCCCACCAGCUUCUUUUAAUAUCCUCUAAUUCUCUUAUUGGAGGGCACAAUCAACAGUUAUGAGCCAUCUCUGUUGCUCAUCCUCUUCUAGUAAUGUCUGUAAUUUCCUUUCCAUGAUCUCUUCCCUUGGCUGAAGAAUCAUAGAAUGGCCUGGGUUUGAAGUGACUGAAGUUUUGAAGCCCUGUUGUUUUGUUUAUGAAGCUUCUAUGACCUUGUUGCCUUCCUCUGAUCCUUUACCACUUAUGCCAUAUUCUAUUUGAGGUCAGAAAACUAGGACUACCCACAUAAUUUAAUGCAUAAGCAAAUCAGAGGUUUAAAUAGUACCACAGUCUGCCUUCUUCUUGUCUCUUUUCUAAUUAUUCCCCAAUAUCGGAUCUUCUUUCUUGUCUUCUUCUGACUCUUCAAACUGCUGAUUUCCAGGACCUACCAAAACUGUGUGAUCUCAUUCAUGAGUAACUGCUCAAAUUUAAUUUCUGACUCAUAAAGUGGUUCAUAUACAGGGAUAUUUUAAUGUAAUGGCUAAAUACGUGGAUGUUAAGCAGGAGGUGCUUCCAGUUAGUAGGAUGAGGUUUUGCUAAAACAAAGGUUACUGCCUAUGUGGAUCUUAUAUAAAAAGUAGUAGAUUUCAGCAUUAUGCACAGAAGUUAAAAUACAGAUGCUGUGGGAGUCAGUCUGUGUGUGAAUAUGCCACUACUGGAGGUCAACAGCUGAUCUAGUUGUCUGACCUCUUUAUGUAUUUGUGCUCACCUGGGCUGUUGUUUAACUUUUGUUAUCACAACUACAGAGCAGUGGUCCUGGAAAAAUGGUUGUUUAAACUCAACCCGAGGUAUUGUGCUGAAGCAGAGAAGCCCAUGAAGUGUCCUAACAGCAUGCUCCAGCUACUCUUCAGCCCACUGCAGCCUUGGAGGAGAGAGAGAUGCAGGGGAAGCACUCCGAGCAUUUGCACAGGUGGAGAGUGACAUUUCUUAUGGAGGCUCCUGCUUCAAGCUAGUUGAGAGCAACCCAUGCUGAAGGUUUUCCUCUGUUUUCUGAAGCCAGAACCCAGUAGUCUGACCCAUGUUGAGGAACAUCCAAAAUCUGAAGUCGGCACUUCAUUGCCCUGU